AUUGAACGCUGGCGGCAUGCCUUACACAUGCAAGUCGAACGGUAACGGGCCUUCGGGUGCCGACGAGUAGCGAACGGGUGAGUAAUGUAUCGGAACGUACCUUUCAGUGGGGGAUAACGUAGCGAAAGUUACGCUAAUACCGCAUAUUCUGUGCGCAGGAAAGCAGGGGAUCGCAAGACCUUGCGCUGAUUGAGUGGCCGAUAUCAGAUUAGCUAGUUGGUGAGGUAAAGGCUCACCAAGGCGACGAUCUGUAGCGGGUCUGAGAGGAUGAUCCGCCACACUGGAACUGAGACACGGUACAGACUCCUACGGGAGGCAGCAGUGGGGAAUUUUGGACAAUGGGGGCAACCCUGAUCCAGCCAUGCCGCGUGAGUGAAGAAGGCCUUCGGGUUGUAAAGCUCUUUCGGCCGGGAAGAAAUCGUAUCAGCUAAUACCUGGUGCGGAUGACGGUACCGGCAUAAGAAGCACCGGCUAACUACGUGCCAGCAGCCGCGGUAAUAC
rnacentral:rRNA from 1 species